rnacentral:lncRNA from 1 species
CUAAACUGUGCUUUGAGAGGAUCCUGAUAAUUUCCCAGUACAGCUGGGCCACAGGACCACAUGGUCUGCAAACAGCUUCCGCCACUGAGUUCCCUGCACUAAGUCCUUCAGCUGGAAGUCUCUGCCCUCCUCUUGAAGUUAAAUAAUCCUGUGGCUCAUUUUGUGACAUCCAGGGGAUCUUGCAGAGUUCCUCACUGUGACAGUGCGAGUUGCUGCUGCAGUCAGAACAGCGGGAGAGCUCAGGGAGGGAGGAUUUGAGGCAUGGUGCGGUGCUGCCUCCAGUCUUGGCUGGUGGGACAGGAUGUGGGGACUCCUUCAACAGCCUAAAAAGGGUGUGAGCUGAAUGUCUGUGCGCUGCUCAAGCAUACUGUUCUCUGAAGCAUAAUCUCUCCACCAUCGGUCCUUUGCAUCACCCACCUGACAGGCUAUGGCAACUUCAUGAGCCCUAAGCAGCCACUGAAAACAUUAAGGUUAUGUACAGUAUGAAAUGAUACGUGUGCCCAUGUUGAGACCUACAUAUACAUGUUUGUGACAAAUGAGUUCCCAGCAAGAUUCAGCAGGCCACUGCUGCCUGAAAUCAACAAGUUGCAUCACGCCAUUUGUGAGAGAACUUGCUUCUAACAAAAAGAGAACAGUUUGCAGACCUCAAGCACGUGCAGUUUCAAGCUCUGGGGAGCAGCAAGAAGAGCUGCACCAGUGAAACUCAUACCUACUGCAGCCCAGCUGCUGACUGUUAGCCGGAACUGGGGCGCAAACCAUUCCCAUUAAGUGGACACAGAAUGCAGAACAGCCAUGCUAAUUUCAGUAAUUUCUCCCAUGACUGCUUUUCCUCUGCUUUAUCCACUUAACUCUCAUCUGUUUUGUCCUCUGGGCACAUAUCUGCGUGACUCAAUUUCACUUUCCAGGAAGAGGUAACCCUCCUGAGCCUCCUCCUGGGCUUCCUUCUUGGCAAGAAGAUCUCGUGCCUCCUAGGAAAGCACGCACAGGAAAUCGGGGGAGAAUGGAUUUGAAGCUUGUGGUUGAGUCACAUCAGUUAUCCUGACGUGGACUUCAGAUCUGAAAAGAUGAAAACGCCAUUCAUAUUUUGAUCACCGUGCCAAAGGUUACAUUGGAUAACUGGACAAAAUGUGCUGUAGAAACCUCUGCAAGUGAACUGCUCUGCUCGUCACCUCACGCAGGACUGGUAGGUGCUGUAAGAACAUCUCCAGGAUCCAGCAUACAAGUGGAAGCAGUGGCAGCUCAGGGAGCAUGUUUAUCAUGCAUGUUUAUCAUCCAGCUUUUCUGAUGGAUGUGCAGGCCCCGUGGAACUCCGGGUUGCUAUAGCUACUCCCUUAUCACAACCUGAGCCCUCUGUACACAAAAGACAGC